CUACGGGACGCAGCAGUGGGGAAUAUUGCACAAUGGAGGAAACUCUGAUGCAGCAACGCCGCGUGGAGGAUGACACUUUUCGGAGCGUAAACUCCUUUUAUAUAGGAAGAUAAUGACGGUACUAUAUGAAUAAGCACCGGCUAACUCCGUGGCCAGCAGCCGCGGUAAUACGGAGGGUGCAAGCGUUACUCGGAAUCACUGGGCGUAAAGAGCGUGUAGGCGGAUAGAUAAGUCAGGAGUGAAAUCCUAUGGCUCAACCAUAGAACUGCUCUUGAAACUGUCUAUCUAGAAUAUGGGAGAGGUAGAUGGAAUUUCUGGUGUAGGGGUAAAAUCCGUAGAGAUCAGAAGGAAUACCGAUUGCGAAGGCGAUCUACUGGAACAUUAUUGACGCUGAGACGCGAAAGCGUGGGGAGCAAACAGGAUUAGAUACCCCAGUAGUC
rnacentral:rRNA from 1 species